UCUUUCUCUACCUCCUGAUGUCGGUAUAAAUGGAUCUUCAUCUCAUGACCAAUGGAAAUGAAACAAGGGAUUGAAAUGAGGAUUCUAAUGUCGCUAGUUCUGGUUUUCUUACCUCUCAAAGCCAUAUCUCAAGAUAUUCAGAAUGGAUUCGAAUAGACUGUGGUCCGGCACGAGCUACCGUGACAGUGAGGAAAGUUUCUGGUGGGAAGACGAGAAUUUCAUCCGGGCUGGCGAAAACAAGCUGCUAUCUAACAGCGGCAACAACAACCUAACUGUGGCAGAGCAACUGAACUCACUCCGUGUCUUCACAGAGCAGAAUAAGAACUGUUACAUUUUACCUGUGAUAACAAACAAGAGAAACUUCAUCAAAGCCGGGUUUCAUUAUGGGAAACAUGAUGGACUCUCCCAGCCGCCAAUGUUCUAUCUCGAGUUCAAUGGGAAACAAUGGGCAGCUGUCUCGACCUCAAUUGUGGGGCCGCAGCAUGAAGAGCUGAUCUAUACGAGUCCUAGAGAAAGUAUAAGUGUCAGCUUAGCCCGGACUCAGGAUGGGCAGUAUCCUUUUAUAUCAACGUUAGAGCUGUUGCCCUUACCCGAUGGAAUGUAUGCAAAUAUGAGCAGUGAUAUGGCAUGGCACACUCUUUACGGGUACAUGUAUGGUGCAACUGAUUCGAUUCUUGGGUAAGUCAUCUUCAACAUAGAAAAUCUUAAUGUGGGCUAAUUUUUUCUCCAUCAGCCAGGUACCCGCAGGACAAGGACAAUUGGGGAUGGCAACCAAGGAAUGAGUCUGAUUUUGGUGUGCUAAGCCUGACUGCAUAUUUCACUUUCAUCAUAUCCACAAGCGUGGAUUACCCACCAGAUCCAGCAUUGCUUCAUGCAAUUAUGGCUCCAUCAGCAGAAUUUGAGUUUCCGCUCUAUUUCCAAGGUUCACAUGGACUUUCGCUAUACUUUGAGCUGCACUUUGUGGAGCCAACUCCUGUACAUAAUCUGCGAUUGUUCGACUUUUACAUCUCAGAUGUAUACUUCUACACAGUCAGGCCACAGUACCGAAAUUGCACCUCUUUCGGGAUCCAAUCCAUAGAUGAUCCAGCUGUGUACCUGAUCCCGAAUAAAUCUGACCUGCCACCAAUUAUUAACGCGAUUGAGUUUUAUGAUUCAGUGUAUAUCCAGGUAUAGAGCUACAUCACAAGAUGACGUUGAGCAACCGCUGCAAUACUAUUCUAAUCCUCGAGUGCGCAUUCACAAACACCAGAUACACAUCAAGCACUUUCCUCUAACCAUAUGAAAUCUAAAAGUCAGUUUGGUUCGAGAAAUUAUAAUUUUGUGUUUUGGGAUGAUCCCUGUUCGGUGCUGUGGCUGGAUCAAAAGCAAUCAUUGAUGGGUUUGAGCAGCUGCAAGGAUGGAGCGGGGCAUGUCUUCCCUUGAACUCUAGCUGGCAGUGGCUGACUUGCAGUGAAUUCUACCCGACUCCGAAUGUGACUUCAAUGUCAGUUAGCCCAAUCUUGUCAACAUAUAACAUUGCCUACCAGAACCACAACCUAAGUCAUGAGACGUUUUCCUAUAGGAACCUUUCCGAGACGUUUUCCUAUAGAACCUGUCCGGGUGGUCUCCAAGGUCAUCUCCUGGACUUCAUCCAAAUGCGAGCCCUCAAGACAAUAUCUCGGGAACAAUAAGUUAAGCAGAUCAAACCCUCAUUUUCUCGGAAAGCUGCCAAAUGUAAAGUUACUCAUUCUCUAGAAUAAUAACUUCUCCGGCACCAUACCAAGGUGUAUAACCAAGAACAAGAAAUUGAAACUUCUCAUUGAUGGAAACCAUGUACAUCGAGACAGGCGGCCUCUCAUUGUUGGACUCACUGUCGGGCUAACUACCGCAGGACUUCUUCUCAUUAUCGGUGUUGCUUAUUGUACCCCACUUAAGCACAAGAUCAAAUGGCCCUCUAGAAGCGCCCGUAGUUCCUCAGUUGAACUUGCCACAAACUGAGUUUUGUUUGUUUUCCAUGGUAUACAUAAUUUGAUACUCUGCCAUUUCUUUUGAAGAAUGUUACAUCAAGACAGACGGCCUCUGAUUGUUGGAGUCACCGUCAGGCUGAUUAGUGCAGGAGUUCUUCUGAUUGUUGGGAUUGCAUA